rnacentral:rRNA from 1 species
GAUGAACGCUGGCGGCGUGCCUAAUACAUGCAAGUCGAACGCUGGAAAUCUAGCUUGCUAGAUUGAAGGAGUGGCGAACGGGUGAGUAAUACAUAAGCAACCUACCCACGAAGACUGGGAUAAUCUCUGGAAACGGGGACUAAUACCGGAUAGGUAAUCGGAAGGCAUCUUCUGAUUAUUAAAGGUUAAAAACACUGGUGGAUGGGCUUAUGGCGCAUUAGUUAGUUGGUUAGGUAACGGCCCACCUAGACGAUGAUUCGUAGCCGGCCUGAGAGGGUGAACGGCCACACUGGGACUGAGACACGGCCCAGAGUCCUACGGGAGGCAGCAGUAGGGAAGUUUCGGAUAUGGGGGAAACCCUGACCGAGCAACGCCGGGUGAGUGAUGACGGCCUUCGGGUUGUAAAGCUCUGUUGUAAGGGAAGAACGGUAGAUAGAGAAUAUCUAAAUGACGGUACCUUACCAGAAAGCCACGGCUAACUACGUG